rnacentral:rRNA from 1 species
GUCGAGCGAACAGAAGGGAGCUUGCUCCCGGAUGUUAGCGGCGGACGGGUGAGUAACACGUGGGUAACCUGCCUGUAAGACUGGGAUAACUCCGGGAAACCGGAGCUAAUACCGGAUAGUUCCUUGAACCGCAUGGUUCAAGGAUGAAAGACGGUUUCGGCUGUCACUUACAGAUGGACCCGCGGCGCAUUAGCUAGUUGGUGGGGUAAUGGCUCACCAAGGCGACGAUGCGUAGCCGACCUGAGAGGGUGAUCGGCCACACUGGGACUGAGACACGGCCCAGACUCCUACGGGAGGCAGCAGUAGGGAAUCUUCCGCAAUGGACGAAAGUCUGACGGAGCAACGCCGCGUGAGUGAUGAAGGUUUUCGGAUCGUAAAGCUCUGUUGUUAGGGAAGAACAAGUGCGAGAGUAACUGCUCGCACCUUGACGGUACCUAACCAGAAAGCCACGGCUAACUACGUGCCAGCAGCCGCGGUAAUACGUAGGUGGCAAGCGUUGUCCGGAAUUAUUGGGCGUAAAGGGCUCGCAGGCGGUUUCUUAAGUCUGAUGUGAAAGCCCCCGGCUCAACCGGGGAGGGUCAUUGGAAACUGGGAAACUUGAGUGCAGAAGAGGAGAGUGGAAUUCCACGUGUAGCGGUGAAAUGCGUAGAGAUGUGGAGGAACACCAGUGGCGAAGGCGACUCUCUGGUCUGUAACUGACGCUGAGGAGCGAA